rnacentral:rRNA from 1 species
GAUGAACGCUGACAGAAUGCUUAACACAUGCAAGUCAACUUGAAUUUGGGUUUUUACCUUAGGUUUGGGUGGCGGACGGGUGAGUAACGCGUAAAGAACUUGCCUCACAGCUAGGGACAACAUUUGGAAACGAAUGCUAAUACCUAAUAUUAUGAUAAUAGGGCAUCCUAUAAUUAUGAAAGCCAUAAGCGCUGUGAGAGAGCUUUGCGUCCCAUUAGCUAGUUGGAGAGGUAACGGCUCACCAAGGCGAUGAUGGGUAGCCGGCCUGAGAGGGUGAUCGGCCACAAGGGGACUGAGACACGGCCCUUACUCCUACGGGAGGCAGCAGUGGGGAAUAUUGGACAAUGGACCGAGAGUCUGAUCCAGCAAUUCUGUGUGCACGAUGAAGUUUUUCGGAAUGUAAAGUGCUUUCAGUUGGGAAGAAACAAAUGACGGUACCAACAGAAGAAGUGACGGCUAAAUACGUG